CUCGGUCAUGCCUCCUUUAUCUUGCGUUCUCUGGAGAAACUAGCACAGUGAGCCUCUUUGCAAUACAUGCUGGACUGAAGAGAAAGGCAAACCGUGGCAUUUUACAAAAGGCUGGCCCUCAGGUCUGCAGG